UUAUCAUGAUUGUAAGAGGAGG
rnacentral:miRNA from 1 species